UUUUUAGUAGAAGUAUUUCUCAUGCAAUAUUUGGAACAUACUUAUACUAAAA
rnacentral:pre_miRNA from 1 species